GACGAACGCUGGCGGCGUGCUUAACACAUGCAAGUCGAACGAUGAAGAAAAGAAUCGAAGCUUCGGCAGAAAUUCAUUUCGGAUUAGUGGCAGACGGGUGAGUAACGCGUGAGCAACCUACCUCUUACAAAGGGAUAGCCUCGGGGAACCGGGAUUAAUACCAUAUAACAUUGUGACGAAGCAUUUCGAUGCAAUCAAAGCUACGGCGGCAAGAGAUGGGCUCGCGUCCCAUUAACCGGAUGGUGAGGUAACGGCUCACCAUAGUGACGAUGGGUAACCGGCCUGAGAGGGUGAACGGUCACACUGGAACUGAGACACGGUCCAGACUCCUACGGGAGGCAGCAGUGGGGAAUAUUGCACAAUGGAGGGAACUCUGAUGCAGCGACGCCGCGUGAGUGAUGAAGGAAUUCGUUUCGUAAAACUCUGUUCUAUGGGAAGAAAAGGACUGUACCAUAGGAGAAAGCUCCGGCUAAAUACGUG
rnacentral:rRNA from 1 species